GCCUAGUUAGCUCAGAGGCAGAGCGUUCGGCUGUUAACCGAUUGGUCGUAGGUUCGAUUCCUACACUAGGCGCCA
rnacentral:tRNA from 1 species